rnacentral:rRNA from 1 species
UACGGAGGGGGCUAGCGUUGUUCGGAAUGACUGGGCGUAAAGCGCGCGUAGGCGGAUCGGUAAGUCAGAGGUGAAAGCCCGGGGCUCAACCCCGGAAUGGCCUUUGAGACUCCCGGUCUUGAGUUCGAGAGAGGUGGGUGGAAUUCCGAGUGUAGAGGUGAAAUUCGUAGAUAUUCGGAGGAACACCAGUGGCGAAGGCGGCCCGCUGGACCGGCAUUGACGCUGAGGUGCGAAAGCGUGGGGAGCAAACAGG